rnacentral:rRNA from 1 species
UACGUAGGGUGCAAGCGUUGUCCCGGAAUUAUUGGGCGUAAAGAGCUCGUAGGCGGUUUGUCGCGUCUGCUGUGAAAACGCGAGGCUCAACCUCGCGCCUGCAGUGGGUACGGGCAGACUAGAGUGCGGUAGGGGAGAUUGGAAUCCUGGUGUAGCGGUGGAAUGCGCAGAUAUCAGGAGGAACACCGAUCGGCGAAGGCAGA